AAUUAGAUAGUUUAUUUAAAACCUAAUAUUGAAGAUAUUAUAAAGGAAUCUUCCUCUAAUUU
rnacentral:tRNA from 1 species